GCAAUAAACCCAAACUUGCAUAGAUAUAGUCAACUAUGAAGAGCUUGAACAGUGUUUUCAGGACUGACAUUUACAGACGAGUGGGAAAUCAAAGACUGGAAUGCUGGGAGAACGCUGGGGAAACUGACGAAGGGGUGAGCUCUGGAAAGGAGGAAGGAUACUUCCUGUUCCUGCUGGAGUGACCCACAGGUCUGAGGAGGAGUGAGGGAGAGGAAGGCGGAGAAAGAAGGUGGCCAGAUGAGUGGCAGGGAUCCAGAGGGUUCCACCGCUCGCAUUCUCACACCCAGAAUCCUCUGUUGCGGCCCAGCUGCCUCUCUGGCUACCUGAACCUCAUCAACUCAACACCCCCCUCACAUAACAU